rnacentral:rRNA from 1 species
ACCAGCUAAGGUCCCUAAGUCUUACUUAAGUGGAAAACGAUGUGAAGUUACUUAAACAACCAGGAGGUUGGCUUAGAAGCAGCCAUCCUUUAAAGAAAGCGUAAUAGCUCACUGGUCUAGUGAUUUUGCGCGGAAAAUAUAACGGGGCUAAAGUAAGUACCGAAGCUGUAGACUUAGUUUACUAAGUGGUAGGAGAGCGUUCUAUUUGCGUCGAAGGUAUACCGGUAAGGAGUGCUGGAGCGAAUAGAAGUGAGCAUGCAGGCAUGAGUAGCGAUAAUUAAUGUGAGAAUCAUUAACGCCGUAAACCCAAGGUUUCCUACGCGAUGCUCGUCAUCGUAGGGUUAGUCGGGUCCUAAGUCGAGUCCGAAAGGGGUAGACGAUGGCAAAUUGGUUAAUAUUCCAAUACCAACAUUAGUGUGCGAUGGAAGGACGCUUAGGGCUAAGGGGGCUAGCGGAUGGAAGUGCUAGUCUAAGGUCGUAGGAGGUUAUACAGGCAAAUCCGUAUAACAAUACUCCGAGAACUGAAAGGCUUUUUGAAGUCUUCGGAUGGAUAGAAGAACCCCUGAUGCCGUCGAGCCAAGAAAAGUUUCUAAG